rnacentral:rRNA from 1 species
UACGAAGGGGGCUAGCGUUGUUCGGAAUUACUGGGCGUAAAGGGCGCGUAGGCGGCCUUGUUAGUCGAGUGUGAAAGCCCUGGGCUUAACCCGGGAAGCGCGCUUGAUACUGCAGGGCUUGAGUGUGGGAGAGGGAAGCGGAAUUCCUGGUGUAGAGGUGAAAUUCGUAGAUAUCAGGAGGAACACCGGUGGCGAAGGCGGCAUCCUGGACCAAUACUGACGCUGAGGAGCGAAAGCCAGGGGAGCAAAC